CACGUAGGGCGCAAGCGUUGUCCGGAAUUAUUGGGCGUAAAGAGCUCGUAGGCGGUCUGUUGCGUCCGCUGUGAAAACUCGGGGCUUAACCCCGAGCCUGCAGUGGAUACGGGCAGACUAGAGGUAGGUAGGGGAGAAUGGAAUUCCCGGUGUAGCGGUGAAAUGCGCAGAUAUCGGGAGGAACACCGGUGGCGAAGGCGGUUCUCUGGGCCUUACCUGACGCUGAUGCGCGAAAGCUAGGGGAGCAAACAGG
rnacentral:rRNA from 1 species